UAUCUGAAUAAGUGUCCAGAAAUAGAGUCCUUUCCUGAAGGAGGAUUGCCCUCCAAUUUACAAGUCCUUCAGAUCAGCGGUUGCAAGAAACUGGUGAAUGGGCGAAAGGAGUGGGGUUUACAGAGACUCUCCUGUCUCACAGUGUUAAACAUCAUCCAUGAUGGUAGUGACGAAGAGAUUCCUGCUGGUGAAAAUUGGGAGUUGCCUUACUCUAUUCGAACUCUUUGGAUAAAAAAUCUGAAAACAUUAAGCAGCCAAGUUCUCAAAAGCCUCACCUCUCUUGAAUAUCUAUCUACUUCUAAUUUACCUCAAAUUCAGUCACUGUUGGAAGAAGGGCUUCCCUCAUCUCUUUCUCAGCUUAGAUUAUAUGACCAUGAUGAGCUCCAUUCACUAUCGACCAAAGGUCUUCGACGCCUCACCUCGCUUCAACGUCUACAGAUCGACUACUGCGAUCAACUCAAAUCUAUUCCAGAAUCAGUGCUGCCCUCCUCCCUCUCUGAGCUGACCAUCUCGAGUUGCCGUAAUCUCCAACCUCUUCCAGAAUCAGUGCUGCCCUCCCUCUCUAAGCUGGAAAUCUCGGAUUGCCCUAAACUCCAAUCUCUUCCAGUAAAAGGGAUGCCCUCUUCCAUCUCUAAACUAAAUAUUUCUUUGUGCCCAUUGCUCAACCCACUCCUAGAAUUUGAGAAGGGGGAUUACUGGCCAAAUAUUGCUCAUAUUCCCACCAUACAUAUCGAUCGGGAAUACCUGUGAUGAUUAAAACGAAGGUGUUCUAACAGAUAAAUCUUGUUGAGCAGUGUGAAGAGACUAUUGCCACUAUGAAACAGAGGAAGCAUCUUCACUUAGGGAUGAACGGUGAUAUUGAGUUGAGCAAAGAGGAGGUGGUUUAGAGUAAUGCACAAGUCCACUAUUGAAUACGAAGCUCCAAUAGAAUUCAAAGAGAAUGAAGUUUUAUCACUGCUGGAAAAGGGCUUCCCUCGUCUCUUUCUGAGCUAAGAUUAUAUUUACCAUGAUGAGCUCCAUUGGCUACCGACAGAAGAUCUUAGGUGCCUUACUUCGCUUCGAUGUCCAGAAAUAACCUCCUGCUAUUGAUUCCAUUAUCGAUUUCAUACUGCAGUUGAUGUUUCACAUUAAAGAAAAGAAGCUGUUUUUUUUGACCAGAUCUUGUUGCUCUAUAUGGGAAGGAAAAGCUGGGCAGAGAGUUGUCAAGGAUCAUUCUUAUGUGAAAUGUCCCUCUCAAUUUCAUGGACACAUGUGUGGAGAUUAUAUUACCACUAUGAAACCGGGGAAUCAUCUUCAGGUCGCGUUAGAUGAGAAAAAUAGGAUUUUGAAAACAGUAUGAUCAGUCACUGUGCUCUAUUUUGGGAGUGAUUUGGCAACGAUACAAUGUCGUUUUCUCUUGGAAGGCUCUUUCAGUUUUUAGCUGAAGUUUACAAUUGAUGGUCAUAUACUGCUCAAACUGCGUCUUGAAAUUGAGUAAAUGGAGGAGUGGCCACCGAUUGCUCAAUCCCACUACUCGGUUGAUAAUGAACUCAUAUAGCGAGCAAGAUAAAUAAGUGAUUCUCGAGGAAAUGGCAUUUGUAACACGAUUUAUCAACUUGAUAGGUGAAAAAACUGAAACGAUAUAAAGCUUACAAUUUCUGAGAAGGAGAAGAUGUGAUGCCUGAAGUUUCAGCUCAAACCACGUCUAGAAUUUGACAAGGGGGAUUACUGGCCAAAAAUUGCUCAUAUUUCCAUCAUAAGAGUCGAUGAGAAAUACCUGUAAUGAUUAAAACGAAGUGUGUAGCGUCUAUUGUCACUAUGAAGCCGAGGAAGCAUUUUUAUAUCAGGAUGAAAGAUGACAAAAAAAGGAUUUUGGCAUCGGUAUGAAGAUUGUCUGAUCAGAUGUUGUUGCUUAACAUGGGAAGGAAAAGCUGGGCAGAGAGUUGUCAAGAUUCAGUCUUAAUUAUGUGAAAUGCCCGUCUCAACGUCACGGACACAUGUCAAUGCACACUUGGUGAAUUGGCCAAAUCUGGUGCAUAUCCUCGCCCACACUCAGAUCAUGUCGGAUCGCUGUAAAGUGGUGGCCAUCUCUGUACCAUCAUCUGCCUUGGGACACAAGGAGAGUUGCCCUUCUCCAUCACUUCAGUAUGCAUCUAUAUGUUUGCGCAAAGGCAAGACUGCCUCAGCAUUUGGAUUGAUGAUCGCCUCAUCUGUCCUUUGAAGAAGCAAAAGUUCGAGUACAGUUGGUUAGAUAUAUGCAAUCUCAACAUUACAAUCAGAGAUUUGGAUUGAAGAUAUAAACAUUAAGCUGAUGUUGGAGAUUAUGAAGUUCCUUUCAAAUUCUUUCCAUUACUCAACUGCGAGUGGCACCUCAGAACCAGGGGAAAGGCAAAGAAGCAUAUGCUACUCGGAAUUGCCCUAAGUUCAUGUUUCGUGUUUCAAAGUUGCUUUUCUGUUCGUUGUUCUUAAACUCCAGUCAAUUCAUGGAAUCACAAGGAGGAGCAUGAAUGGUCGGAAACAUGCAAUCUGUAUUUCACAAUCAGUUUGGUUUUUAUGAGUUGUUGAGAAGGGAAAGCUGUUGAGAUAUUUAAGUUACUCUGAGAUGGGACUUUCUAUUAGGCCUUUCUGCUCUGGUUACGUUUGGCCAAUGGAAAGCAAAAGACGACAUAAUUAUUGGACUUUCUGUAUUGAGUAAUCUGAACUUCUGGACGUGAACGGUUAGAGCAAACUGUAAAUGCAUUGGAAAAUGUACGAGAAAAGGGGGGAGAUUCUGAGGAGGGAACGUUGAAUGUCAAUGAGAAGAGAAAGUAAAGUUUCAAUGGUCUCCUCAAGUUGGCUAGUGAAAGUUGUGCAACAGGUUUGAGGGACAGUACUAACAAGCUCGGGGACUUGUUUCUGUUUCCAAAAGGACUAGUACAGUAUCAAUACAACUAUGAUUGGAUUAAAUCAGCUAUAGCUGUUUCUGCAAUUGGUAGCGCGAAUGCUGAACUGUUUCACUUCCUCUACAACAUUGUUUGCUACUAUUGUCGAUAAAUCAGAUUCUCGCGAAGUCAUUCAAGACUGAUGUUGCUACUGUUCAGAAGAUCAAGGCUGGUCUCUCAUCCUAGGAUCUCAUUUUGCUCGUCGAAUUUCUAAAUAAAACUUCACCUCGGAAUUCAGUGCAAAAAAGAUUCAUAUGUAAUGUUUUCAUUCUUUCUUAGUUGGUUGGUAAUCUUAUCAUUAUGAAAUUGGCUGUUCAUUUUC